UACAGAGGGGGCGAGCGUUGUUCGGAAUUACUGGGCGUAAAGGGCGCGUAGGCGGCCUCUUAAGUCGAACGUGAAAUCCCCGGGCUCAACCCGGGAACUGCGUCCGAUACUGGGGGGCUUGAAUCCGGGAGAGGGAUGUGGAAUUCCAGGUGUAGCGGUGAAAUGCGUAGAUAUCUGGAGGAACACCGGUGGCGAAGGCGGCAUCCUGGACCGUAACUGACGCGUGAGACACGAAAGCGUGGGUAGCAAACAGG
rnacentral:rRNA from 1 species